UACAGAGGGUGCGAGCGUUGUCCGGAAUCACUGGGCGUAAAGGGCGCGUAGGCGGUGACUUAAGCGUGUGGUGAAAGCUCGGGGCUCAACCCCGAGUCGGCCGUGCGAACUGGGUCACUGGAGCAGAUCAGAGGCGGGCGGAAUUCCGGGUGUAGCGGUGGAAUGCGUAGAGAUCCGGAGGAACACCGACGGCGUAGGCAGCGCCCUGGACGACACCUGACGCUGAGGCACGAAAGCUGGGGGAGCGAACAGG
rnacentral:rRNA from 1 species